rnacentral:rRNA from 1 species
CAAUAGCGUAUAUUAAAGUUGUUGCGGUUAAAAAGCUCGUAGUUGGAUUUCUGCUGAGGACGACCGGUCCGCCCUCUGGGUGAGUAUCUGGCUUGGCCUUGGCAUCUUCUUGGAGAACGUAGCUGCACUUGACUGUGUGGUGCGGUAUCCAGGACUUUUACUUUGAGGAAAUUAGAGUGUUUAAAGCAGGCUUUUGCUAUGAAUACAUUAGCAUGGAAUAAUAAUCUAGACUUCGGUUCUAUUUUGUUUGGUUUCUAGUACUGAAGUAAUGAUUGAUAGGGAGUAGUUGGGGGUUGGCUAGUAUUGUAGCGGCCAGAGGUGGAAAUUAC